UAUACAUGCAAGUCGAGCGACAGAUAAGGAGCUUGCUCCUUUGACGUUAGCGGCGGACGGGUGAGUAACACGUGGGUAACCUACCUAUAAGACUGGGAUAACUUCGGGAAACCGGAGCUAAUACCGGAUAACAUUUGGAACCGCAUGGUUCUAAAGUGAAAGAUGGUUUUGCUAUCACUUAUAGAUGGACCCGCGCCGUAUUAGCUAGUUGGUAAGGUAACGGCUUACCAAGGCGACGAUACGUAGCCGACCUGAGAGGGUGAUCGGCCACACUGGAACUGAGACACGGUCCAGACUCCUACGGGAGGCAGCAGUAGGGAAUCUUCCGCAAUGGGCGAAAGCCUGACGGAGCAACGCCGCGUGAGUGAUGAAGGGUUUCGGCUCGUAAAACUCUGUUAUUAGGGAAGAACAAACGUGUAAGUAACUGUGCACGUCUUGACGGUACCUAAUCAGAAAGCCACGGCUAACUACGUGCCAGCAGCCGCGGUAAUACGUAGGUGGCAAGCGUUAUCCGGAAUUAUUGGGCGUAAAGCGCGCGUAGGCGGUUUCUUAAGUCUGAUGUGAAAGCCCACGGCUCAACCGUGGAGGGUCAUUGGAAACUGGGAAACUUGAGUGCAGAAGAGGAAAGUGGAAUUCCAUGUGUAGCGGUGAAAUGCGCAGAGAUAUGGAGGAACACCAGUGGCGAAGGCGACUUUCUGGUCUGUAACUGACGCUGAUGUGCGAAAGCGUGGGGAUCAAACAGGAUUAGAUACCCCUGGUAGUCCACGCCGUAAACGAUGAGUGCUAAGUGUUAUGGGGUUUCCGCCCCCUUAGUGCUGCAGCUAACGCAUUAAGCCACUCCGUCCUUGGGGGAAGUAACGAAC
rnacentral:rRNA from 1 species